rnacentral:rRNA from 1 species
UGAGGAAUAUUGGGCAAUGCCCGCAAGGGUGACCCAGCAACGCCGCGUGGAGGAUGAAUGUCGUAAGAUUGUAAACUCCUGUUAGAGGGGAAGAAUAGUACCGGUUGGACCGGUAUAUGACUGUACCCUCAGAGAAAGCCCCGGCUAACUACGUGCCAGCAGCCGCGGUAAUACGUAGGGGGCAAGCGUUGUCCGGAUUUACUGGGUGUAAAGGGCGCGCAGGCGGGAUAAAAGGUCAGUGGUGAAAUCCUACAGCUUAACUGUAGAACUGCCUUUGAUACUUUUAUUCUGGAGUUCGGGAGAGAGAGACGGAAUUCCAGGUGUAGUGGUGAAAUACGUAGAUAUCUGGAAGAACACCAGUUGCGAAGGCGGUCUCUUGGUCCGACACUGACGCUGAGGCGCGAAAGCGUGGGGAGCAAACA